UGGAAAAAAGUGUGGAGGAAGAUUAAAAUAAAGCAGAAAGAUAAACUCACUCAGGUUCCCUGCGAAGACCACGUCUAGCUGUUUGAUCAGAAUCUCUGCUUUGAGACAAAACGGGGUAAUGAACUUGGGAGAAGAAAGGGCUGCUGCUACUCACAAUUCCUUGAGGGUAUUGUAGCCUAAGUUAUCUUUGAAAGAUACACAUAUGAUCAUGUCAAGCCCUGCUUGAAACACUUCAGAGGCAUCCAUAGCAGGGAACAAAGUCCAUAUGAAGAUACAGUGAGAAGGCAAGAAGGCAUUCAUCUGCAAGCCAGGAAGAGAGCCCUUACCAGAAACCAAACGCUGUGAGAACUUGAUCUUGGAAUUCCCAGCCUCCAGAGCUGUGAGAAAAUAAAUUUCUGUUGUCUAAGCCACACAGUCUGUAGUAUACUGUAAUGUACUGUUAUGGCAGCCUGAGCAGAUUACGACAGGUGUCAAAGAGGACUUCAGCCUUAGCUGAAAUGUUAGAUGUAACAUUUUAAUGUUUUAGAAUGAGAAUGUAUUUAUGUAUGACUCAUGUGAUUAGAACAUUAACUUCUUAAAGUCAACUUUCUCUUCCCUCUUCCCCCAUAAUCGCCCUUUUUUCCUUUAUCUUCCUUUGAGCAAUAUUAAUCAAGGCCUGUGGCAGACAUAUACAUUCUGAGCCUUCCAGCAACAUUUUUCAAAAAGACCUGUCUUCAGGUCAAGGUCCCUAAAAAUAAAUCUUCUCACCACAGAACACAGGGGUGUGUUUAUUUAGUUUUGUUUAAUAAAAUAUUUAUUGAACUCUUAUUGAAGUUCAAUUAACUUUAUUCAUUAUAAGAUAAUAUUAUACUAACACUGUCACAAAUUUAAAGACAAGACAAUUUCCUCAUUACACCUCCACUGGAAACACAACCAUGAUUUCCAUUUUUAGGCAUUCCUUUCUAGGCUAUCUAUACGCUUACCGUUUUGUUUUUUUUUUUUUGGCAGUCAUCAAAUGGUUUAUAUAAUUUUGUACAUAUCUUUUUUCACAGCAUAAAACCUUUAUAAUUGCCAUUUUAAUGGUUACUCAACAUUUUAUUCAGUUUUAAUUGACUUAUCUAUUCCCGUGUGGUUGACAUCUAGGCCAUUUCCAACUUUUUAUUAUAGAUAAUGUUGAAUAAACAUUUUCACAUACAUGAAUUUUAAAAUUUGAGUUAUUUCCUUAAAAUAAAUUCUUCGGGGUAUUACUAAACCACAUGAUACAAGCAGAUUUUAUGACUAUUGAUCAAAAUUAUUCAAUAGAGUUCCAAAGCUUCGUGCCAAUUAAUAAUGCCACCAGCAAUGUGCAAAUAUACUGCAUUUUCAGCAUUGAUUAUACAAUGUCAAGGUUUUUGGCAAUGUAAAAACUUUGGAGGGGAAUGCCUCAGAUCAUCUAAGACUACUUGGUAAGCUGAUUGAAAACCAUAGAAUUACAUAAAAGGACAUGGAUUAUCUUUCCCAGCUCAGCGUCCAUCCCCUUUCUCUAGGAACUGCACCUUGAGGUCUUCCGCUCUCUCAAUCCAUGUGGUUUGACAGGACUCCAGUCCCACCCUCAAAUUUAAGAAUUCAACCUGUGACCCAGGUUGGUCACGGGUCUUUCUUUCUCCCUCUCUCUUCCUCAAUUUAUCUCUCUCUCACACACACUCGGGGCAGGGGGUAGAUCCAAAAACAAACAAAGCAGAGCCAAGAGGAAAGAGUAAGUCCUGGUGACAGUGUUUGAGUCCCUUGAUCCAGCUGGCAAUGAUGCCAGACUACCCUGGGAUUCAGGGCCACUAUGUAGAGUUGAGCCAAUUGUGAACUGCAAAGCAUUCCCAGCCAAAGGGGUAAGUGGCUGCUGAAAUCUGUUGUGUGCAUCUGGGAGGAAGGGUGUGUCUAUUCAGAGAAAGAGACUUGUUUAUUGUUUUGUUUUGUUAUUUGUUUGUUUCAUUUUGUUUUGUUUUAUUUUUCAUUAAAGGUUCCCAUUGCUUGCCAAGCCAAAUGCUCACUCAGGAGCCCUUUUUUCUAUUCUCAGAAGGUGCUAUGCAGGCUGCCAGUAGCUUUGCAGUUAUGUGAAACAAUAAAUCUCCCCUCUUAACUGAA